rnacentral:rRNA from 1 species
GAUGAACGCUGGCGGCGUGCCUAAUACAUGCAAGUCGAGCGAACGGACGAGAAGCUUGCUUCUCUGAUGUUAGCGGCGGACGGGUGAGUAACACGUGGAUAACCUACCUAUAAGACUGGGAUAACUUCGGGAAACCGGAGCUAAUACCGGAUAAUAUUUUGAACCGCAUGGUUCAAAAGUGAAAGACGGUCUUGCUGUCACUUAUAGAUGGAUCCGCGCUGCAUUAGCUAGUUGGUAAGGUAACGGCUUACCAAGGCAACGAUGCAUAGCCGACCUGAGAGGAUGAUCAGCCACACUGGAACUGAGACACGGUCCAGACUCCUACGGGAGGCAGCAGUAGGGAAUCUUGCGCAAUGGGCGAAAGCCUGACGGAGCAACGCCGCGUGAGUGAUGAAGGUCUUCGGAUCGUAAAACUCUGUUAUUAGGGAAGAACAUAUGUGUAAGUAACUGUGCACAUCUUGACGGUACCUAAUCAGAAAGCCACGGCUAACUACGUG